UCUGGUGCGGAUACUGGGACGGGAAACACCCGGAACCAUUCCGAACCCGGCCGUUAAGCCGUCCUGGGCCGAUGGUAGUGCGGGGGCAACCCCGUGUGAGAGUAGGUGAGUGCCAGGG
rnacentral:rRNA from 1 species